AAUUCAUGUUGAGGACAUUUCCACGGGAGCUCCUUGAACCUAUCCCAUGUCUCAAAAAUAGACUCCAAUUUCGCUUGUACAAAGGAGUAUAUUUCAUUCCUGAGCUU